CCCGGCAGUGAACUGCCGGGCUAUUGUCAGAAAUCCCUCCGGGAUU
rnacentral:sRNA from 1 species